GGUUGUUCUGUAUUUACUUAAUGACAAUUCCCUAAUGACAGCAAUGCUGAUUGUCAAUUUUGAGAAUUCAAUUUGCCGAAUAAUUCGUACAAUAUAGAAUUAUAGUUUUCCAACCACUCGCUCAACAUUGGAAUGGAAGUGACGACGCCCCUAAACGCACAAAUGACGUUCACUAAAACCAGAGUUUUUGACGGAAAUGCAUCGAACUCGAAAGUUGUCUAUUAAGUU
rnacentral:lncRNA from 1 species